UUUGCCUAGCUGUUGGGUGUACAGAUGUUUGUUGGGUUCCUGAAGAUGCGUCGACGUGUUAUCAUCCACGCAAGCUUCCCCAACCCAGCCAGUGUACCACAAGAGAACAGGCAUUGAGGAGGACGGGAGGAGGGAUCGAGCGGCUGCAUGCACUAUAUUGAAUGGGACGGCAUUACAUUCUUCCCACAGUUGUAUGACUACACUGAAGGAAGCCCAGAAUAAAGUGUUGAGUGACCAUGAUGAAUCAGUACUACUAACGCCAAAGAAGUGAGGGAAGUGUUUGGAGUGAGCGUGCAAGACG